rnacentral:rRNA from 1 species
AUCGAGAGAACUCUCGUUAAGGAACUCGGCAAAAUGACCCCGUAACUUCGGGAGAAGGGGUGCUCUGUUAGGGUGCAAGCCCGAGAGAGCCGCAGUGAAUAGGCCCAGGCGACUGUUUAGCAAAAACACAGGUCUCUGCGAAGCCGUAAGGCGAAGUAUAGGGGCUGACGCCUGCCCGGUGCGGGAAGGUUAAGAGGAGCGCUUAGCGUAAGCGAAGGUGCGAAUUGAAGCCCCAGUAAACGGCGGCCGUAACUAUAACGGUCCUAAGGUAGCGAAAUUCCUUGUCGGGUAAGUUCCGACCCGCACGAAAGGCGCAACGAUCUGGGCACUGUCUCAACGAGAGACUCGGUGAAAUUAUAGUACCUGUGAAGAUGCAGGUUA